rnacentral:lncRNA from 1 species
AUAGGAAAACAAAAUUCAUAUAAGUAGAAUCUCCCAAAAAAUAAAAGCAUUGUCAAAUUGAGUUACAAACUAAUAAUAAUUUCAUCAAAGUUUGUAAACUAAAGAUUGUCCUAAUAUCAAAAAGUUUCCAAUAAAACACUUAUGCCAGAUAAUUUAUAGAACCUAGUAAUAUCCAACUGAAUUCUCCCCUGCAAAUAAUUAAAAUUUUCAAGUUAGUCAAUAAGAAAAAACAGCCAUCAAUCAUAAUAAGAAGCAACAACAAAUUACACUAAAAAAAUAGCAGAAAAAAGCACCAAAACAACAAAUAUAAACAAGAAACAACAAUAAAAAAAAAACCCAAAAAUGGCAAAAAGAGAUGCUCAAAGCAGCAAUAAAUUUAUAAAAAAUACCCUAAAAUAGCAAGAAAACUACCUAAAACCAGAAAAAAAAAAUCUAAAAUAGCAGCAAAAUCUUCCAUUGCCAGAUAAAGCUAUGAAAGAAAAGAAAUAAAAUUCAUAAAGAGUCAAAGCUAACAUACUGACCACUUGCUAGAAAUUAAGCUAUAAAUCCCAAAUUUUUACACAAAUUAAUAUCUGAAACAAGAUUGGUUUGAUAUAUGAUAGUCAAGUAAAAUACCUAUAAAGUAGUACAAAAUCAGCAAACCUAAUGGCUUCACUCCACUCAUUUUCUUAAGACUCCAGUGAUGAGAAGCUGCCAACAGAAUGAUAAAUUGAGGUUUGACAGGAAGCACACAAACUAAACAAGAUACAUAACAACUUUGUUAUCCAUGUUACACCCUAGAACCAUUUCUAGGAAUAUUUGUUAGAAUAGCCACCAUAACAGUUGAUGAGCAACAUAAAACAGAGACAACAACAAAACCAGCAACCUGCAAAGUGCCAAUUCUUCCAUAAUUAAAUCAGAUAGACAAUAGAAAUAAUUUACUAUUAAAAUCCCAAAUUCAUUUUAUCUUCUUCCUGCAUUUUCUCAUCAAUCAAACAUAAAAGAGAGCUCCUAUCGACAUAUGCAAACAGCACCCACCAUCUUGUCACAUUCAAACACAACCCAAGAUCACAAAAGUUAAUUUUCCAGAUUUAGUUAACCAAAGAAAAUAUACCAUCAAUUGGAUCACCUUAUAAAUCAAAUACAAUUACACGAUAUUACCAACCUCCCAAAAAAAAAAGGCACAAACUUUAAAAUGAAAACAACACCACCAUGAAAAAUAAGCAAAAGUGGGUAUUUGAAUCAAACAUGAUAGAAUGCAACAAAAGCAAAAAAGCUUUCCAUAGAAGCCAGAGCCAGAUUGGGUACAAGCAAGCUAGGAUGUACCAAUUAAAGAUGCUUCAUUCAAGAACAGAAAAGCUACCAGAAUGAUAAAAGUAGAAAAAAUGAAACAAUAAAUAGAAAAUUGGGUGAAGCUGCAACAAUAGUUUCAAUCACUUAACAGUACCAGCAAACUUAUAGUCAACUUUAAGAACUAGAUGUUUAAGCCACAGAUAACGGGGACGUACCCAUGAGGAUAAAGACACAAGCGUGAGACCAGCAAAGCCGCCCAUCCUUAACUUGUGCAGCAGACAAAGUCGAAUGAAAAAGGAGGCAACGACGGUAGCGACGGAAACGGCUGGAUCGGAAGCGAACAGCUCAAGAUGAAAGCAACAAGUUAAUGGAUUGGAUUGUGUGCGCGUGAUGUGGCUUCGUUUUUAUUUGGUUAGUCAAGAAAUCGAAGAGAGAAAUUUGUGAUUUCUGAGAGAGAGGCAAGAAAUUGAGAGAGAUUGGGCGCGGUUGAAACACCUAAAUUAUUAAAAUAUAAAUUUUGCAGCGUUUGGGAACUGGUUGCUUCGGUUGCCCUUUUUUUGUUUUUUUAUUUCUUUUCAAU